GUAUCACAUUGUAGGCCACUUCCGGCUGACAAGCAAGACCUACAGAAAAUACUUGUACUGUACAUGUACAUUCUGUGCACCCACGUGGGCCCAAUCACGCCUUGAAGACGUGCACAAGGUUCAAAGGUCACACAAUUCGCUAAAUUUGAUGGGGAAUUCCCAGAUCCCUACAUAGUUACAUUUUAGAUAUCAAAUGAGGGCACUGAGCACAGGACGCCUUAUUAAUAGCGCAGGAAUAUUCGGGCAGCGAUGAACGUACUAGGCUGGUGCCUACGUGACAAAACACGCUUUCUCUUGCUUUGGAAUUUGUCAAGGACCACUACUACUAGUACUGGUUAUUAGAAGAGAAAAGUCCUUUACUGGCUUCUUUGGACCGUCCGUGGUGUACGUGGGCGAUACCCACCCUUUGGCUCGGUCACACUUACUAUACCAGGAUAUACUGGGUUGAACUUCGUCGACUGGCGAAUAAUAAACCAGCAGCGAGAAGAGUGGUACAUUUCCAUCUCCAGCCUUCUUUCUUCAAUUAGGGAGGCGGACCCCGCCCUAGUCACCGGCUGGGCGGGUAGGCCAUCUCCCGACAGAUUGUGGCGUCGUAGACAGGA